UUUUAUGAAAAGAAGAUUUCUGUCAUGAUUUGACUAGCUUAUAUUGUACAAGGAGUUGCCUAUAUUACGGCAUUUUUUUCUUACUUUUGACUAGACACACGCACACACAUGGGGGAUUAUUCUUAAAACAUAAUCUCUUAAAUCUCUUUUUUUUUUUACUCCUGCAAUAUCAUAAGAUCUUGACUUCGGUCAUUUUAUACAUACAUGAAAAUCAUUGACAUAUCUACAAUCAAAUUGUCUAAUUUUAAAAACUGUUUGUCCUAUUUCAACACCCAUAAGGAUCAAAAGGAUUAUAAAAUGCAUAAUUAUAUAGUGAUUUGAUAAUUUUUUGAUUAUACAUGUAUGAUACACAACAUUGCUUGAAUCAAUGCAAAAUGAGAAUACAACAACUGGCUUUUAAUUUAAAAUUGAUGUUCAAAGUAAAUUUGCACCAUGAUUAAGUAAUGAUAUUCACACAAAAAUAAAUAUAUUUUUUUGUCAAUUAAUAUAGUUCAUUUGAGCUUCUCUUAUGUAUAGAUGCAUACAAAACUGCAACACAUCGGUGCCUACGUAAGCAAGAAAAUUCAUAGUCAUGAAUUCUAGAAAUUUUUGCAUUUCCACUUUGUCCAUCAUAUUGCAAAGCAAGCCAGAAAGUUAAGUUAACUUCUUAUGAAACAUGAAUCCCAUUACUUUUCCAUUUCAAUCAGGGGGCACAAGCUACAGUCCUGGCUCAUGAAAUCUGCUGUGAAUUUACCAUUAAAGAUAUGGGGGGGGGGGUGUUUCUUGAAACCAUAUCAUUUUGAAUGACCAUAUAGACAACCCAAUUUCCUUCAUCACCUCAAUCUAGACUACGAAGAUAUCAGUUUAACAUUCUCAAUAUUAUGUUAAUAUUUUCAGAGGAUAUUUUUGCCUCAAACGUUUAGUCACAGUAUGCAAAUGUUGAUCAGUAUAUAUGCAAACAUGUGUUCAGUGCAACAUAUUUUGGCCAUCAUCUGAAUGUAAUCUUUUGAACUCUAUCAUCAGGAAAUUUCUUGGCUUGUACUUUGGUUGAUUGUAAAGUCAUGAAGAAAUUUAUGAAACAGCUUUGUGAAACCUAGGUAUAAAAAAAAUACAUGCAAAACAUCUUUAAACCAAGAAAAUAUUUAUCAGCAACAACUUAAACACAAAGUCAAAGACUUGCAUCCCAUAGAAUUGAAUCUUUCUCAAGGAUCAUGCAUUAUUACAACAUCAUAACAUAAUAGAUUUACAUUUAAUACUCAAAAUCAAUUGUAACUUUCUACAUGUAUGGUUUGCGAUUAAUCUUAAUAUUGUUCCAAUUAAUUGUAUCGUUGAUGUUAUCUUUGAUUUUACUGGGACUGAGGAUCCAGCCGAUAGAGUAUGUUGCUAGACUUGUAUAAAUACACUAUUGGAGUUUAUAAGCUAAUUUGAUUUGUUGAAAAUCCAGAAAAUUUAGCAAAUAUUUGAACAUAUAACAACCAACAUUCCAGGAUACAAUGUAUAUCACAUGAUGCAAAAGCUUAACAUCAUCUGAAUUGAUCUUCAAUUUGACUUUAAAAAUUAAUACCUCUGGAGUGAGGAUUUCAUAUAUUGCCACACCCCCUAAAAAUGCAUUCAGUACCCCUUACAUGAACAUUUUAAGGAUUUCAAUCAAAAUGAACUCAAUCCAUCUUUAAUUUUUAGAGAGAAGGGCCAAUUCCACUGACAGAUAUGCACAGGUAACUAAAGAAAACAGCGUAAGUUCUGGUCAUGUGUAUGGUCAUGGCCUUGCAAAUCAGUGUAUUGAUUAUUUCUGAACCAACAAAUGAAUGCAUUUUGUUAAAUCUCAAACCGAUUAUUAUUAAAAUUCAUCCCUACCCCUACAUUAAAAUGAACAAAUGAAAUAGAAAGGCUUGUCUUCAGAUUUUUUUAUACAUGAUCAGAUGCCGGAAUGAAACAAAAAAUAUAAUUUAACCUCUUCCUAAUCCUUCAAAACAGGCAAAAAUAUAUAUGACUUCUAUCCACUCAUGGGCAUAAAUGUCAUAUAAACAGUAUUUCUCUUUCAGUUCCCUUUAAGAACAAAACAUAACAGCUUUUGGUAAAAUAACAUGUAUACAAACAUAACACAAGAAAUAUAAAUCAAUAUUUCAAUAUAGAUAAACUUUCUUUACACGUCAUUUCCAUUCUUUGUGAAUUUAUAUCAUAUAGUGAAAUUGGUGGCAUUUACCCCCUUUUUUCUCAGGAGGAAAAAAAAGAAUAGCAAAAAUAAAAGUAUAUAUAAGCUGCUUUUGAGACAUUUCUGAAACUAGUUUCGCACCAUAAACAUAGCACAUAAUACAUGCGGCGGACAACAGAAAUUUGGACGAUUUAAGUUUAUGUGGUGGCACAGUGUCUAGAAGAAUCAGAAAAACAACAUUUGAAAAUCUACUGCAAAUGCGAUGCCAUGGAGCAAAAUGUGAAACAUAUGUAUAAUCCUCUUCUUUCUUCUUUUUUUUAAGUUUUGUGUGAUUUUCAGUGAUUAGUUUGAAAUAGUUGUGUACAAAAUAAUCUAGAAUAUAUACUGGUGGAAACUACUGAACAUAAAUUGUUAUAGCAUAACAUAGUCUUUGCACCUUACCGGUACAUUUCGUUUGUCUCCACACACCUUGCAUUUUGUUCUUUUCUACAGAAAACAUAUCUUUUUACUGCAUUUUGCACAUCAUUCUACAUGCCUGGCAACACAAUAUGGCAAUUUACACUCUACUAAAUGUAAAUAUCUCAAAUCUACAAAAACAUUUUCAUUCUAAACAUAAUUCUUAUUAGAAUAGCAUAAAAAUAUUCCAAGAAAGUUUUGUUUCUUAUCAUGUAGAAAUAACAUGAUGAAAUGGUAGAAAUAAAGUAAACAUACAAGCAGGUAUUUAAUUACAAAAUGGGCAUUAUUCAACUACUUUACAAUAUUUCUUCGUUCCAUAACUUCUGUUUCGUGUCAAUAAUUUCAAUCCACCAACGCAAGCCUGAUAUUACAAAAAAGAAAUUGGCAUUUACAAUAAUAAAAUUUGCAAAUAUGAAAUCAAUAUACAACAUGAACAAGGAAUGUAUACAAAUGAUACUCAAGCAAAUAUAUACUCACAUUCAUUGAAACAAAUACAUUAAUUUCAGAAUUUGACAAACCUAGCAUCCAAAAUAGCAUCUAAACUAGUGCAAUGACUGAAAAACAUGUUUUGUGGAUUGACAACUUAGAAGUAAAGUUCCUCUAAAAGUCUACAUGAAAAUGGAUGCACGAUUUAAGUCAUAGUCUGAAUGCAAUGUAACACAUUGUAAACACUUCUUAUCAUGGAAUAGUUUGAUUCUUGCAUUCCUUUUGUUUCUCGUUGAUUUAUCACUACUCUGCAAAUGACAUUUCAAAGUUCUGUCUGAAAACCCUGGAGACAAUAAUUCUCCUUAAAAACACUGACAUUUCUGACUACAUAGUACCUGGGUACAGGAUUAAUUAAAAAUAAACUGAUCUACAGCUAUCGUAAUUGUCUUUAAAAGGCUAAUAUACAAUUAAUACUAUUUACUCUAAUCAAGUAUCAUGCAUCGAUAGUUCUUUGGUAUAAACACACUUUUGUGACCUGCACAAUCAUUCCAUAGUUUAUCGUUGCCCUUUUACCUUACGAUUUUCUUCAAGAAAGCUUCAAAAGUCCCAAUUAUGAAUUUGUGGCUAAAAUCCCAUUUCUGUAAAUGCUUACUUCUGAUUUGUAAUGUAUAAAUAAUUAUAAAGAAAAUAAUAAAAGGAGAGAGAGAGAGAGAGAGAGAGGCUGGGGGGGGGGGGGUUAAUAAUGGACACUGCAACAAAUAUAUUUAUAUAUUGUCAAGAGGGAGUGGUAUUAAAGUAGAGAAGAAUAAAAAAUCUUCAUUCAUAUUCCCUCUUUUCUUUUCUCACAGAGAAAGGCAUACCAGUAGAUAUAGUAAAACAGCUCCACGCCCCUGUAAGAAUAACAUAUGCUUUUGGACCAAUGGAUACUGUAUAGUUGUUUGUUAAAUGAAUACAUCUCAGCAUCAUUUAUCUCAUCUAAACUUGAAUACACAUCUUGUAAACUGAACAUUGGUGGUUGAAUAUAUUUCAAGGUCUUUAUUCCUUCUUUUUGCCAAUAAUAAAUAUCAUAAGGAUAAUGACAUACAUAUUUCUUGUUAUACAGGUAAAAUGAGAAUCCUCUACAUACAAACAUGCCAUGACUUCUGGUAGAGAAUCAUAUUUCUGUUUUGCAUGUUUGGUUGCCCUUUUCCAUGUUCUCACAUCCUGUAUAUACCAUUAGUGUUUCAUAUGUUUGUAAUGCUGUAGGAAAGCAUAUUUCCAUAUACAUGUAAUGGACCAUAUUAAAUAUGAACUUAUAUGAGUAUACAGUAGAGAAUGUUUUAAAAAGACUAUAAGGUUAUUCACUCAAUACCUUCAAUGAGGAGUAGCUAAUGUAAUUAUGCAUCUUGCCAAAGGAGCUAGUACUGGGAUGGGAUUUGAAUCCGAAACCUUGUGGUUCACAUUCAAGUGAUGUCACCUUUGAACCAGAACACAUACAAUAUCCAAAACUUCCUUCAUAUUCUACCAUCAGCAUGACAAUGAGUGAGUCUAAUAAAGGUUUUUUUUUGUCAAAAGAUAAUUUAUAGGUAUUUUCCCCGAGAGCUGUUAUAAUCUACUGGGAUCAUUGCAUCUGAUUGGCUAAAAGAAAAACUGCUUAUGAAAAUCACAUACAAGAUGCAUCAUGAGCCAGAUGGAUGAGUCUAAUCAAGGGGUAUUUUCAAAAGGUAGCUUAUCAGACAUUUUCCCCGAAAGCUGUUAUAAGCUUUUGAAAUUGUUGCAUCUGAUUGGCCUGGAGCUAAACUGUAUAUGAAAAUCACAGACAAGAUUGUUCAUGAGCCAAAAUGGACGAGUCUUAUGAAUGAAUUCUGCUGUCCCAUGACAAAGUUUCUUACUAAACGAAGAAAACGUGUCAUUGUUCUACGAUUAAAAAUAGUUACUUGCUUUGAAACAUCUAUAUAUCUGAAAUUGGAGGCUAUGUGAUUUUAUUUCCUUAAGCAUCAUGUAGGACAUACAGAAAAUAUCUCAAAUCAAUAAAAAAAGAGAUCAAUUUUGGAGAAAAAAAAUGGAACUGCAGAAUUAUUCACAUAUGCUUCAAUUUUAUGACUGAAAGAUAUAUAUAGCAAAAUUUGGGGAAAAAAACUUCUGCAGAAUUCCAAUUAAUUGUCUCCAACCGUCUAACAACAGAUGUUGAUUUUGAUUUGAUACUAGUACUGACUCUUAAUGAAAACAUGCAUAAGAUAAACCAAUACCUGAAAUACUAGAGUAAGACAUCGUCAAUACUGUAUUGGGAGAUAAAUGGAAACAUCUACUUUAUUUUCUAAAGCAUCAAAAUCAUCGUUUAACAUACAUAUAUAGUAGGUAUAUGGGUACCGGUAUUAACUUAGUUCUUGCUUCCUCGAGGAAAUUGUCCAACGUUGUUUCCCCGGUUCAAUUAUAGGCAUAAGCUUUAAAUACUGGUUAGAAACCAUUUCACUACUCCAAUACUCUUCUAAAACCUAAAAUACAAAAUGAAAUGCCAUAAUGCUCUCAAAAUAUUACACAUUAGGAGUAUUUCAGAAAAUAACACAUCAUAUGAAACAGAAUUGUGACCGUGCAAAAAGAAAGCUUGCAUUUAUGGCUGAAUAAUUUCUCAUACAGAUUAUUGUAUCUAUAUUGAUUCGUACACACAGCUCCCAUUUAUUGUUUUACUAUUCCCAAACUUCAUUGCCUUGUUUCUAGAAUGUUUAUCAUCAAUGGUAAGUUAUAAAUCUUAUAAGCUACUAAAAUGAUACAAUUUGAUUGGCCAAGAAGGGUACGAUUAUUGAAUUCUAUUUUUUGUUGUUGAUCACUAUUUUUAUGCAACAGGGCCAAGCAUAUAAUAAUGAAGCUCCAUGAUCCAUUGGAUUUUGGAAUUGACCAGUCAGGAUUGUUGUUGCAUCAUGGGCUUCUUCACAUACAGGUUGAUCAUUAACCGAUCAGAAGGCUUGUCUUAAAUGUGAAACUGAUUGCAGAGCUUAUUAUUGAUCCUCAAUCUCCCCUGUUUGUUUCUCAGUAUACUACCAAUCUGAACCACUUCUUGUUUAAUCAAAUGUAAAAUUUGGUUUAAUACAAUGCAAUUGCUAAUAUAGACCUUAUGCAUUGAUGUCAUCACACCGCUAUCUUAGAUGCUGAAGCAUGCAUUGGUGAUCUGCAGCUGGCGCAUCUCUGACAACUCUCUUUAUGCAUAUUCCUAUAUCCUCUGAGGGAGGGCGCUAUGAAAAUAUGAUGUCAUAUGCAUAAGGUCUAUUUUCAGUUAUAUUUUUCACAACAAGCAGAUAAUGUCUAAGAACCAUUCACCAAAUAUUGAGGUUGAUUUGAAACAUAAUUUGGGCUUUAUAAAAUGCAGUUGCUAUUUUUUUCAGUUAUAUUUUCCCCCAACAAAAGCAGAUACAAACAAAUAUGGUAUACACUGGGGUUAAUUUGAAACCUGCCACAUAAGCAGCUUAGCUUCAUUGGAUACAUUCUCCCCCAACCUCAUCAGGUAAUCAUGCCCCUCCCCACCGCUUAUCACCAUUGACGUCGUACUUGUGACGUUGGCAGACACUUCGACCUCGCUCGCCGAG